UCUUCAACAAUCUUCACAACCCUAAAACCAAACCCUAGAUCAACUCAACCUUUCUGGACGUCACAGCGAUUUCUCAUCUCUCUAAUCAGAUCUUCUUCCGCUAUUGAAGAUUCAUGUUAGCAAGAAGUAUUUUGAUGAUAAGCACCGAAAAAAUUCUACCUGCACGUCUAUUAUAUAUGUAGUACUACAGAUUCGAUUCUGGCAUAAAUGUCCGAUUGAUGUUAACUUUUUUUGUAUUCUUAUUAAUUUUAUGGAAAUUGGUUGAUUAGAUCCGUGAUGACUGAACGUUAAUUUUAGUGUAAAAUGUUUGAAAAUGUUUUAGUUUUUGGAUUGCACGCAAGGUGUUUGAUGAAAUGCUUGAAUGGGA